GUUGCUCAGCUGAAGGCAACUUUGAAUUUUGAGAGAAAUAAAUGGAAUGAGGAAAAAAAGAAGGUUGAACUAGAUAUGGUUUGGAGUUCUAAUAUGUUCCUCUCGUACAUUCGAGAGCUCCAGGAUACCGUGAAUCACUGUAAGAUACAGAAGAAAAAUAAUUAGAGAAACAUGUAGUUCAGCUGAGGGCACUUUGGGAUCUGAUUAUAAGAAGCAGCAGCAAGAUGAGACAAAUCUGGACAUCAAAGACAGGAACAGAAAGCUGAACCUCUACAAGCCCAAAGAGUCGCAGGAAAUUGCUGAGGAAUUGAAGAUUCUUAGGUGAGUGAAGAGAAAUGAGGAUGGAAACCUGAGAGUGACUGCAUGCUGUGCUGUUAACUGAGCUGCAGCUUUCCAGUGUCCCAGGUGAGAUACUUCUUCACCUUGGCUGCUAUUUCAGGUCAUUUAGGAGUCUACCUCUCUUGGUUCAGGCCUGUGUUUUUCUCCUGGGUGAGUCUCCCAUUUACAUGAUGGAUGAUGAGAGCAGGUGUGAACUGCUACUGAAGACGAGGCAGCGCUUUCUACUGUUAGAUCUGGAUACCAACAUGGUGCAUCAGCGUACAGCGGCGGUGACGUCUGCGGUGAGUCUCCGAGGGCCGGAGCUGUUGCUUGGGCUGUCUGUUGACCUCGCUGUGCCUGCUGUGCUGGGGGUCUCGACCUCUCUUCGGUGGGCAACCAUCCAGGUCUGGAUCUGUUUUUACACACUAGAAAGAGUAACAGAUAUUAAUAACAUCAACAAUCAACAAACCAAUGACAUUGCAAGUGGAGCAAGUGGAGCAGCCCCAUCACUGAUCAUCCAACGAAUGAAAACAAUAACAACUUCAAUCUCUCAGGCAAAUCCUCACAUUCUGUAUUUUGCAAUUAGUGCUGUCUUGCCACAACCUACAGAUGACUCAGCAAAAAAAACUACAGUGAAACAAUACAACACUAUGCUACACCACUGAACUACUCACACAGACAACAUCAUCUUUCUGAACACAACAAAACUUUCCUCAAACAUGGAAAAAUAGUCUACCCCCUAUACAGACAAGAUGGCCUCCACCUUAAUCAACAAGGAAAACACAAACUUUUUACAUACUUUCAGCAGUUCCUUUUGCAUUUUUGUCACUUUUCAACACAAACCAAACAAUGUUAGUAUCACAUGACAUUUUUGUCAGACUGGUUUACAUUAAUGACCAUAACAUGUCUCUUUCUACAACAAUAAAUGCCAUUCUCUUUGUUUGCAA